ensembl:lncRNA
GUUUGUUUGUUUGUUUGUUUGUUUGUUUGUUUGUUUGUUUAAAGAUCACCUGUACCUGUUUGAGUUUUUGUUGUUUGUUUGUUUGUUUAAAGAUCACCUGUACCUGUUUGAGUUUUUGUUGUUUGUUUGUUUGUUUAAAGAUCACCUGUACCUGUUUGAGUUUUUGUUGUUUGUUUGUUUGUUUAAAGAUCACCUGUACCUGUUUGAGUGUUUGUUUGUUUUUUUGUUUGUUUGUUUGUUUGUUUGUUUGCUUGUUUAAAGAUCACCAGUACCUGUUUGAGUUUUUUGUUUGUUUGAUUGUUUGUUUGUUUAAAGAUCACCUGUACCUGUUUGAGUUUUUGUUGUUUGUUUGUUUGUUUAAAGAUCACCUGUACCUGUUUGAGUGUUUGUUUGUUUUUUUUGUUGUUUGUUUGUUUGUUUAAAGAUCACCUGUACCUGUUUGAGUUUUUUUGUUUGUUUGUUUGUUUAAAGAUCACCAGUACCUGUUUUAGGUUUUUUU